AAAAAUUUAGUUAAAACUAUAACAUUAGCUUGUCAAGCUAAAAUUAUUAAACACUUAAUAAUUUUUA
rnacentral:tRNA from 1 species